GAUGAACGCUGGCGGCGUGCCUAAUACAUGCAAGUCGAGCGAACAGACCAGGAGCUUGCUCCUCUGAUGUUAGCGGCGGACGGGUGAGUAACACGUGGAUAACCUACCUAUAAGACUGGGAUAACUUCGGGAAACCGGAGCUAAUACCGGAUAACAUGUUGAACCGCAUGGUUCAACAGUGAAAGACGUUCUUGCUGUCACUUAUAGAUGGAUCCGCGCCGCAUUAGCUAGUUGGUAAGGUAACGGCUUACCAAGGCAACGAUGCGUAGCCGACCUGAGAGGGUGAUCAGCCACACUGGAACUGAGCCACGGUCCAGACUCCUACGAGAGGCAGCAGUAGGGAAUCUUCCGCAAGGGGCGAAAGCCUGACGGAGGAACGCAGCGUGUGUGAAGAAGGUCUUGGGAUCGUAAAACACUGUUAUUAGGGGAGAACAAAUGAGUAAGUAACUGUGCAGGUCAGGACGGGCCCUAAUGAGAAAGCCACGGCUAACUACGUG
rnacentral:rRNA from 1 species